CGUAGGGUGCGAGCGUUAAUCGGAAUUACUGGGCGUAAAGCGUGCGCAGGCGGUUUGUUAAGAUAGGCGUGAAAUCCCCGGGCUCAACCUGGGAACUGCGCUUAUGACUGGCAAGCUAGAGUACGGCGGAGGGGGGUGGAAUUCCACGUGUAGCAGUGAAAUGCGUAGAGAUGUGGAGGAACACCAAUGGCGAAGGCAGCCCCCUGGGUCGAUACUGACGCUCAUGCACGAAAGCGUGGGUAGCAAACAGGAUUAGAUACCCUGGUAGUCCACGCCCUAAACGAUGUCAACUAGGUGUUGGAUGGGUAAAACCAUUUAGUACCGGAGCUAACGCGUGAAGUUGACCGCCUGGGGAGUACGGCCGCAAGGUUA
rnacentral:rRNA from 1 species